UAAACAAUAGUACAGUUUAUUUUUGCUUCAAAUAUGUAUAUUUUGUCAAGCAAACGAUAAUAAAGUAAACACCAUUUCAAUGUAGAUUGCACUUGGGGCCCCGUGUAAAACAUAAGUCGGUAUGUUGUAAUAUUUUACAUACAUAUAUAGGGUGUCACCACAAGAGAUCGCUAUUUACAAUUAUUAGAUACCUACUCGAGCGCAGAAUUUAAUGUUGAAGCAAUAUUUCAGAAUAUAUAUACUUAGGUAUAAUGUAGGUACGUUCUUCCAUUUGUUCUAUAAAAGGUGCUGCAAGAUUUCAAGACAGGAAAGACCUAAAUAAAUAAAAUGGUUACCAA